UGCUGAGUAGAAGGAAGCAGAAGAGAGGUGCUCUGCUUCCAAGCAGUCAUUGAAAAUAAGAAUACGAAAUUCGAAGCUACACAGGUUGAAGCGUAAACACCCCAGUCCAGCUACAAAUCCAACUGGAACCAUCAUCAGAUGUUCAAAUUAGUGGGGGCGGCCAAACUUCCUGACCCGACGAGCCGCAUACUGACAUUUUCAUACAGCCGAGAGCCGCCAGACACAUACUGUAAAACAUGAAAUGUUUGUGAACAAGACAUUUUAAACACUAGCAUUGCUUUAAACAUUUUUAAAAAAUCUCCCUAACAUUAUAACAAAAUCUUGCAAAUCUUGAAUA